GGCCUACGGGACGCAGCAGUGGGGAAUAUUGCACAAUGGGGGAAAUCCUGAUGCAGCGACGCCGCGUGAGUGAAGAAGUAUUUCGGUAUGUAAAGCUCUAUCAGCAGGGAAGAAAAUGACGGUACCUGACUAAGAAGCCCCGGCUAACUACGUGCCAGCAGCCGCGGUAAUACGUAGGGGGCAAGCGUUAUCCGGAUUUACUGGGUGUAAAGGGAGCGUAGACGGCUGUGCAAGUCUGAAGUGAAAGCCCGUGGCUCAACCGCGGAACUGCUUUGGAAACUGUAUGGCUUGAGUACUGGAG
rnacentral:rRNA from 1 species